rnacentral:rRNA from 1 species
GCCAGCAGCCAUAUCAUCCUGCAACUCAGAGCCGACAACCCACUGAAGCUGGUCAGUACCUGGAUGGGAGCCCUCCCGGGAAAAACUGCAGUUGCUGCUGGAC